GACGAACGCUGGCGGCGUGCUUAACACAUGCAAGUCGAACGAAGUGGCGAACGGGUGAGUAACGCGUAAUCAACCUGCCCUUCAGAGGAGGACAACAGUUGCAAACGACUGCUAAUACCGCAUACUUAACGUGGGGAGUGCGUCUGCUUAGCUAGUGGGCGGGGUAAAGGCCCACCAAGGCGAUGAUCAGGAACAGGUCUGAGAGGAUGGACGGCCACAUGGGGACUGAGACACGGCCCAGAGUCUUACGGGAGGGAGCAGUUGGGAAUCUGCCGCCAUGGACGAAAGUCUGACGGAGCAACGCCGCGUGAGGUAUGACGGCCUUCGGGUUGUAAAGCUAUGUUAAUCGGGACGCGGUACCGGAAUAGAAAGCCACGGCUAACUACGUGCCAGCAGCCGCGGUAAUAC
rnacentral:rRNA from 1 species